rnacentral:lncRNA from 1 species
CUGCGACGAAGGCCGAGGUUUCGAAACAGCUUGCAUGUGAGGGACACAUGAGGGCAGCAUUCAACAACAUUACAACAUAAACACGCGACUCUUGAAAAUCUGGCGCUACCCGUAUUCUUCCGAGUGGCUGAAAACUUUCUUAUUACGUCAGUAUCAGUACUACAAGUUUGUUUUAAUUAAAGUGUGUUUUGGGUCCAACGUAAUAACACCAAAAUGGAUGAAAAGCAGGGAGCAACUUCUGAUGAUGUCCUAACUGGGGAGGUAACGUCAACCACAGUUACGGAGGGUGAUGUUGUCAAGAUGCCAACAGAUGUGGCCAUCACUAUGGAUGCUAUUCCCAAUGAAGAUAAGGAGGCAAAUCCAAAGGUCUUGACCCACAAGAAAACCAUUCCACCAGCACCUCUGACG